CCCUGCCCACCUCCUCCUCCCUCCAUUGUUGCAGCCACCAAAACCCUAGCCCCCCCCCAAUCCCCUCCUCCCUAGGUGCUACUCCGUGUCGCUCGGAUCAUCGUCUUUUGGUGCGAAUCUCCAAUCGUUUUGGUGGAAGGAAGAAGGGAGGAAGGAAAAGGGGAGAACUCAAGGUGAUUUUUCUUUUGUGUUCAUCCCUUGUUCAUUUGCGCUGCGAUUGAAUUGAUUAGAUGUUGCGUUUGCGAUUAGAUAGAGGGGGGCUGUCCAGAAUUUUGCGUGGUGGAUGAACAGCGGUAGUUCCAGCAGUUUUUAGGUUUUUUUCGUGAAGAUUUAAUGGGGAUCAGUAUGAGAAUCUUGUAGAACUUUGUUUUAUCUUUCCAACGAGUAUUUAUGCGCUCAAUUUGGAGUUAUAAAUUAAAAGUUAUCAUCGUUUGAAUCCGGGUAUGUGGCUGUCCAGAAAACAGAUUUUUCAGAGUGAUGAACAGCAGCAGUGUUAGCAGUUUCUGGGGAUGUUUCGGGAGUAAUUAGUGUUAAUCAGUAUGAGAAUCAUGUAGGGCUUUUUCUUAUCUUUCCAACAAGUACUUAUGCGCUCAAAUCGGAAUUAUAUUUUAAAAGUUAUCGCUGUUUGAAUCCGCGUAUGUCGCUGCUCAAAUCAGAAAAAAACAGAUUGCAGGGUUUAUUUUGAGGACCGUUUAGAGGUAAGUAGAUGUUAGAAUUCAAUCAUGAGUUGUAUACAAAACUUGUGGGGAAUUUUAUGUAGUUGUCUCUGAAGUUUUUGUUUAUCAUCACUGCUGUCCUAAAUUUUAAGUUAUGGAAUUGUUAAGCAGCGCCGCUGCAGUUUGGUUAGUGAGGGGAGAAUUGUUACCGCGGCGGGGUUUGAGAUUGCGCGUAGGUGCGGUGUUGUCUUUGAGUUUUUUUUCAUGAGAAUUUGGUGCACUAAGUUGGGUGUCAAAAACAGGUGGUGGACUUCCGGAUCGUUCUUAGGGAUUUUGCCCGAACUUCGGUAAAGGCAAGUAAAACAGUGAUGGUUAUUUCGUCUUUUGAUUGAAGAGUCUUAUACUUGAUUAUGUUUGUGCUAUUUGUGUUCGUAUCCAUAUUCCUAAUUGGGUACCAUCGUUUGAAAUUAUUCAUGAUUUAUUGAUUAUACAUGUGGAGGGUGUGGUUUGAUCAUGUUACCCAUGUGGUUAUUGAUGUGAAAUGGGUGGAAGUAUAUGUCUAGCACAUCUUAUUUGGGAAGAACUCAUGUUGUUGACAUGCAUAAUGCAUUCAUCAUCCAUUGCAUUGAAGUUUCGUCGCGAUCUUAUGGUCCGACCGUACCGGUACAAUGAGCAUCAUAUGUUUCCCGAGAAGGGGUAUGAUGCAGCUUCAUAUCCUUAGAGGUAUGAAGGCAGAAGUCAUGUUGCAUCUGUAGCCAUGUGCAUUCAUGGGUGAAGUGUGGAACCUAUUUUGGUGAUGUGGAUAAGGUGGAUCUUUACUUUGUAAUUCAUCUUGGCAUUGAGUAAUUGAUUACUUGCUUACUUGCUGCAAAUUAAUAUUUAAGGAAGAAGUUGGGAACCAUGUGGUUGCUUAUGCACGGUUGGCUUGCAUUGUCCAACUGUUGUUUGUUUUUUUUACUUGCUGAGAUGUGUCAUCUCACUCUUGCAUUGUCUGAUGCAGGCACCUGAUCUUUGCUUUGGGAAGGAAGGGAUGUAGCAGCACAGCCACCACACUUUUAAAUAAAGGAAUAACUGAUUAAUAAUGAUGUUAAACAGGAAGAGUCAAGUCUAGAGAAUUAUUACAUUCUAAUCUUUCAUGGUAGUUGAACUGUUUAGUUUGGUGGGCUGAGAUGUCUAUCUUUUGUCUGGUCAUGAAUGUUCUUUUCUACCGUUGCAUUUUGAUUAUACUAUGUCAAUUAUCUUUCUUUUAUAUCCUGUAUAAACUAUAUGCUUCCCUUGUUAUGCUACUUUCAAGGGAGGUGCUGCCGGAUUUUGCAAUACUUUCUUUCUCUAUGUGUUGCAUAAGUUUUGUAGAAAGGUUUUUUUGGUAUCAUCCAUUGUGUGGGAUCAGUGGGGUGUU
rnacentral:lncRNA from 1 species